rnacentral:rRNA from 1 species
GACGAACGCUGGCGGCGUGCUUAACACAUGCAAGUCGAGCGGAGCGGCGAACGGGUGAGUAACGCGUGAGUAACUGCCCCCCUCUCUGGGAUAACAGUUGGAAACGGCUGCUAAUACCGGAUAGUGGGGGAUGACUCGCGUCCUAUCAGCUUGUUGGUGGGGUAGUGGCCUACCAAGGCGACGACGGGUAGCCGGACUGAGAGGGCGACAGGCCACAGAGGGCUGGGGUGCGAGCCAAACUCCGACGGGAGGCAGCAGUGGAGGAUAUUGCACGAUGGGGGAAGCCCUGAUGCAGCAACGCGCGUGCGGGAUGACGGGCUUCGGGUUGUAAACCGCUUUCAGCCAUGACGCGGUAGUGACAGAAGAAGCACCGGCUAACUACGUGCCAGCAGCCGCGGUAAUAC